rnacentral:rRNA from 1 species
AACGAACGCUGGCGGCAUGCCUAACACAUGCAAGUCGAACGAGACCUUCGGGUCUAGUGGCGCACGGGUGCGUAACGCGUGGGAACCUGCCCUUAGGUUCGGAAUAACUCCCCGAAAGGUGUGCUAAUACCGGAUAAUGUCUUCGGACCAAAGAUUUAUCGCCUUUGGAUGGGCCCGCGUUGGAUUAGCUAGUUGGUAGGGUAAAAGCCUACCAAGGCGACGAUCCAUAGCUGGUCUGAGAGGAUGAUCAGCCACACUGGGACUGAGACACGGCCCAGACUCCUACGGGAGGCAGCAGUGGGGAAUAUUGGACAAUGGGCGAAAGCCUGAUCCAGCAAUGCCGCGUGAGUGAUGAAGGCCUUAGGGUUGUAAAGCUCUUUUACCCGGGAUGAUAAUGACAGUACCGGGAGAAUAAGCUCCGGCUAACUCCGUG